GGAAAGCCUGACGGAGCAAUACCGCGUGAGGGAGGAAGGCCCUUGGGUCGUAAACCGCUUUUAACAGGGAAGAAUAACUGACGGUACCUGUUGAAUAAGCCUCGGCUAACUCCGUGCCAGCAGCCGCGGUAAGACGGAGGAUGCGAGCGUUAUCCGGAAUUAUUGGGCGUAAAGCGUCCGUAGGCGGUUAUUCAAGUCUGCUGUCAAAGACUACAGCUCAACUGUGGAAAGGCAGUGGAAACUGAGGAACUGGAGUGCGGUAGGGGUAGAGGGAAUUCCCAGUGUAGUGGUGAAAUGCGUAGAUAUUGGGAAGAACACCAGUGGCGAAGGCGCUCUGCUGGGCCAUAACUGACACUGAGGGACGAAAGCUAGGGGAGCG
rnacentral:rRNA from 1 species